rnacentral:rRNA from 1 species
UACGGGGGGGGCAAGCGUUGUUCGGAAUUACUGGGCGUAAAGGGCUCGUAGGCGGCCAACUAAGUCAGACGUGAAAUCCCUCGGCUUAACCGGGGAACUGCGUCUGAUACUGGAUGGCUUGAGUUUGGGAGAGGGAUGCGGAAUUCCGAGGUGUAGCGGUGAAAUGCGUAGAUAUCUGGAGGAACACCGGUGGCGAAGGCGGCAUCCUGGACCAACACUGACGCUGAGGAGGCGAAAGCCAGGGGAGCAACGGG